rnacentral:lncRNA from 1 species
CACCCUGCCGUAGAGUCUAUAAGUCUAUCAAUGAGAGGAAGGGGGAAACUAUCCUUUGGGCAUCCUUUGUUUAGGUCGGUGUAGUCGACACACAUUCUCCACAAGACCUUUUGAAGCAAGAGACUUUCCUUGGUCGGAUUUUUCUUAACAAGGACAACAUUUGCUACCCAUGUUGGGUAAUUGACUUCACGGACGAAGCCUAUGUCCUUAAGUUUUUCAACUUCUGCUUUCAUCGCCUCGUAUCGUUCAACAUCAUAAGAUCUUCGCUUCUGUUUU